CAGUCACACACACAUAUCAUUCAACUUCUUUUUUAUGAAGUUUAUUGAAAUUUAAAGAAACCAUAUUUUUAUUGCAGGUUGCAUCACUCUAUUUAUGUGGAGGUUCACGAAUCAUGGCCGAAAGAAAAUAAUUCCUGGAACUUUGCAUGUUUUAUGGGACUUUCCUUAUGAGAGGUGGGUGAUUUGGCUUUUGACCAGCUGAUUUUGCACGUGCUUGACUUCGAUGUAAACAAACUCUCACGCCUUGCUGGAUGGGUAUGUAUUUUUUGGUAUGAAAAUGCUCAUUAAGAACUGUACUACAUGAUGUGAAAGUACAACUUCUGAAAAGUUUACUUUAAGGCAGUAGGGUCAGGUCAAAGGUGAGUAAUUUUGGUAAGAACAUAUAGGCAAAAUUAAUAGAGUGGUGCAACCUCUAGUCAUAACCGUUUACAUCAGCUUUUCAUCAGUGGUGUCUAAAACCAGGUCCGAUGUAUCAUGACAUAUAUUUCUUUCAUUCUGUCUUCACAUAUGUUUAUGAGUUAGGUAAUCGGAUUGGUUUAUAAUAACCAUUUCAUAUCAUGUCUAUAUUUAUGCUGUCGAUUUGGACAACCGCGUUAGGGACGUAUUAUUCAAAUCGUCUGUGACUGCACGUAGCGUUGAUUAGCUUACUCUCGAAAUGUAAACUGGUCUUCAGUUAGGAGAACCAGAUAACGGAAGACCAUGAUGUUCUGACACAUUGGUCAGUUUGGAACUUGUGAUAAAACGGUAGUAGGCGUACUUUAUUGACCACUAAUAUAGUUAUGUGUGUCAUAUUUAGUUUUAGCAGCAUUAACUUGAAACUUUCAUUAGAUGUGCAUUAUUGACAACGGGGCUGCAUAUGAUAUACCUUCGACGACGACUGGGGAAAACUAGCCGUGAGUAAUAGUCUAGUACAGCUACAGUGCAGUGUAUGCAGGCCUAACAGGCUAUUAUAAACUUAAUUGUUAUUUUAUGGCUAUUGUAAGUUUGUCAUUUUAAGCCCCAACAGUUCAAUAUUGGCAUGAUAAGAAUUUGAAAUAUCAACUUUUCAUGUUAUUCAUGAAAUCUGAUGUCAUGUUUGACAGGUUGGGAACACUUCCCCUUAUAGCGAGAUAUUCUCGCUAAAACGCGAUUAUCAGGGUUGUCACUAGAAAUUCUUGAAGACAAGUCCCGGACUCGUGGUUUAUAAGCAUCUUGAGUCCCACGAAAAUUUGAUGAGUCCCAUGAAUAUCUAAUGAAUCUUUUUUAUAUAAGACAAUUAAAAUGGAAGCAGUACUAAACAUAUCAAUUUUAAGAUUUAUUGUAAAUCAUUCGUGACUUGGCCUCGGACAUCUAAUUGUCCACGCCAACAAAAUUAUUUCCCCGAAUCUCCUAUCAUCACAACAACCCUAUUCAGCGGGUUGGGAACACUUCCCCUAUAGCAAGAUAUUCUCAAAAAAAACCCGCAAUUAUCCCUCUCUAGCGAGAUUAAAUAUAUCCCGUACAACUGAGAAAAACACCUGUGGAGUACAUCUUUUCGUGUUUCACGUGAAAAGAAGAAAAAGUGCUAAAAUGUUGGAUACUUCUGCAAAUAUAUUAAUCAAAACAAAGACACUAUGUGUAUUGGAUUUCAGACUGCCUCCCUCUUACGCAGCAACUUUGAUAUGCAAUUUUUUUACUAUGUUUUCAAUUUCAUAGAAACAAUUCGCAUCAUGUUGAGUUUGUGUCACACUUAUUCAGCGUUGCAAGGGAUUUGCCAUUAUUUUCAAUAAAGACGCCAAAAUACCUGUUUAUGGUAAUGUUUACUUUCUCGCUAAAGAGGGAUACUCGCGUUUUAGCGAGAAUAUCUCGCUAUAGGGGAAGUGUUCCCAAACUGUUCAAUAUUGAACAGCAUUUUAAUCAAAUUAUUGUGAUGAAAUAGAUGCAUACUAGUUUGCUUCGCCCCUUGGGCCCCCACCAGGGCUUUGCCCUUGACCCACUGGGGACCUCAAGGCAGCCUCCAGACCCCCUGCCUCAUAAAGUGGUGCCCCCCCCCCCCUGUAACCGCAAUUCUUGGAUCGUCCCUGUCUUGAACCAGAAAAUAGUGAUGUUGAGAUAUUACAACAAGGACAAAUGGUCUUUGACAUUUCAGUAUUUUAAAACCAAAUCAAGAACGAUAAUUUAGAUGCAAUGUAACAUGUUAACUAACAUUUAUAAUUACUUAAAACAAUUACGGAUAUUUUUUAAAUUAAAUGACUUUCACAACUCAAACAUGUCUGGUUAACUAUAAUGUAAGUCAAUUAUGCAUGAAACUGAGAUACAUUGAUAUUGAUUUGAACCAAUUUCUUUGAUUUAUGAAAAUGUUGAAGGAAGACUGGAAGUUGAUAAGGAAAGAUAUGUUAAAUUCAUUCGAAAUUUCAAAAAAUUUUGUGAUAGUAGCGUAGCGGACAUUUUGAAAAUAUUGGAAAAUUUCCCUUCUUAGAAAGUCAAACCAAUGGAAAUUCUUUACAAAUACACAUUUCCUUCAGGGUUCCAACUUCGACUAUAAAUACCUUGGGGGGCCAAGUGGGCCCCUGAAUAAGAAAUCAUUUUAGCCCACAUGAAAUUUUAGUAGCCCCUACAUAAAUAAUUGAAUAACUUGUUGUUUAUUUUACAAGAAAAAAAAUAUCAGGUCAAAUUGCUAUUUAUUUGAAAAAUUGAAAUAUCAAUAUUCAAAUUCUGUUUCCAUUUCCUUAUUGUUUCAAAUCUCUCUCUCUCUCUCUCUCUCUCUCUCUCUCUCUCUCUCAUGGCAUCUGGAUGCAAAACAUGCUUCAUCAGACUUUUUAUGCGAUUUCGAAAGUUCUCAACUUUACAAUGAUGUCAAGUUUAUAACUCGGGCAAGCUGUCAUAACGAUUGGACCUUUCAUGUCAUGUUUUGUACACACAGCACAUGCCAUCCCCUUUUCACCGUUGUCGAGCUAUAUUCUCCCCUUCUUUCCGCUUUGGUAAAAACAGACACUUUCUUUUCGUUUGAAGUAACCCUUGCAUUGUUCAACUUCUGGUUUAAUUACGUUUUGUAAUUUGAUACCUCAGAAAUGUUUUACAAAGUGGCAACUGGAAAUUAAACUUUGUAUAUACAGUAAAAUAUCUCUAUUUCAAAGUCCGAGGGACCUCGAACAAAUUUCGAGAUAUCCGGGGGUUCGAGAUAUCCAAAAUCGAUCUUGGAUAUUUUUUUGAAGGAGGAUAUUUGAUGCAUAGUAUGGGAUUUGCAUUAUAAACAGCAACCCCAUUGCUGUUUCAUAUAGUUUAAUACAAGUUGAUAAAUUAAUAUUGUGGAAUUUGAAAGACAAACAUUUCGGUUUUUUUAAUAUAUAUAAACACCCAAUUGAAUUCACAAUGUGUUUCAAAAUUAAGAUGAUCGUGCCUGUAUGCUACUUUAAGUUUACUGAUGUCCAGACUCGACUGGGAUGUAAUUAUUGCGUUGUAAUGAAAGAACCUAUCACGUAAGAAACAAAAAAGGAGGGAUUAAAAAAAAACUUUUAAAUGUUUAUUAAAUAAAUUUUCGUGUUUUCUCAGUACUAGUUUUAAUGAUGAAGCGUGUGUUAUCAAAUGCAUUAUCAUUAUUAAGAGCAUUACCUUCAAGCGUACUUCGAUGAUUGUGCGUUUAUCUAACCCACAUGUUAAUGAUAGAGCGUGUGUCAUUCAAAACACCAUCCCCGGAAUCGGGUGUGUUAGUUCCUAAUUGGCGGUGAACUUUAGCCGUAAUGUUGGAAGCUUCACUAAUCACCCAAGCUGUUGAACCAUUUAUUGCGACCUGGGUCUUCCCGGAAAAGGCGAGUGUGGAUUAGCGGUCAUUAAUUAUAAUUGAUGUAGCCGCGGGUGUGAAUGUGUGACUUAAUGAUGCCAGGUAUGGUAAGCAGAGCGGAAAAUCGACUGCACUUCGAGAUAAACCAGGUGAAUUUAGGGUAUGGGACCUUGAAAAUACUUCAACAUAAGCGGGGUAUUCGAGAUUACGACAGUGUUCGAAAAAUCAGAAGGUUUUUUUUUUAAUCAUUUAUAUAAGGGAAACAGCUGGGACCGGCGGUCGACUUCGACUCUGAAGCGGGGUAUUCGAGAUAAACCAUAUUCGAGAUACAGAUAUUUUACUGUAUUAGGACUUGGAUCAGUGGGAAAGAAAAAUGUUGAUCAGACAAUUACGGUCACCACAGAAAUUUGGGGUGCCCACAAGCAAAGUAUAGUCGCCAAUGCAAGUGGGUGAGCAGUAAUUUGAAACCCUAGCUGUUCCAUGAUUUUUUUCUUUUUCCAAGGAAAAUUCACAAAUAGUAAAACUUGCAAGAACAAAGGAAAAAAGUCCAACAGGUAACAAACAUGAAUGAGUGAUGAACAUAUUGGGGAUGGUUUCCAGAUCUAAAUUAUAAAUAGAAAACAUUCUUUGCAAUUUUUCUAUCGAAACAGGGGUGUUGAUCAUGAUCAGAACAUUCUCCUGGGGAAUCCUAAGUUUAUCAGAAUGUAGGUUAAAAACUUUCAAAUAACGAAAAUGAAAAUCAUAAUAGAAAUAAGGGAAUAAAAAGAAUUUUUGAUAAUGAUAACAUAUGGUUUGCGUUUUUGAAAUUAACAAUACUAUGAAUUAUUAUGAUUAUAAACUGAUGACGUGUGUUUUUUGAUUUGUUAAACUUGUUGGUUAUGUACAUUUUGAUUUAAUUAUUGGAGUUCAAACUCAACUUAAUUGUCAAGUGUGAAAAUCAAGUUUAAAAAAGACUCAUAUUUUCUAGUUAGUUUUGUAUCCUGGUACUUAAAAAUUGAUUUGAAUGUGAUAAAUGUCUCAACAUGCACUGUUAGAAAAUAGUACAUUUAGAUCCAAGAAACAAACAUUUUUAUGAACAUUCCAGCAACAUAAAUGUAUGAAAAUUAUGAUGAUUAUAAUGACCAGAACAGUCUAGAUUCAAUUCUACUUUCAUAUAUUAAAUACAUGUAUUAAGAAAUUCGUAUUUCUAGAGACUAUUCAAUACAUACAGGGAUUUAUUGAUUGAGGUUCUUUUACUACCAGUAAAGGGUACCUCUCCCCCUUUGACAACAAAUGAAUAUUUCCCCAUCCAGGAUCUAAGCAUAAUUCCUUCGAUUGUAAAAACUACACAAAUUGUAUUGGAAUUUUAACAAAAAUCAGUAAAAUUGUAUUCUACAUAAUUUCUUCAAUUAUCCAAGUUUCACAAUAUAGAUAAUAAUCAGUAAUCAAUCAAUUCAUAUGCCAUUUUUUGGAGAUAUUAUAGUCUGAGGAUGCCCCCCAUCCUAACCCUCUCCUGAAAGUUGAUAAUUGCAUUGACCAUCCAUAAUAACAUUGAUAUAGACCGGGACAUCGAAUGGACACACUUAGCGAGAAAACCUGUAAAUAAGUAUACCAAGGAUGCUUGUGCAUAAUAUGAUGUAAGAGUGAUCGCCAAAAUCUUAAAAGACCAUAUUGCCAAAAUUUCUAGAUCUAUACUUUUUUUUUAUUCAGUUGAGGUGGGCAGAUGUAUGAAACGUAUUCAUGUUAGAAAUGGACAUGCAUUGUCUACAUCCUUCUCUUUGCUAGCCUGUUUUGAUUUUUAAAAAUGUGAAAAUAUGCUAGAACUGGUGACAGUUUGCACUUUAAUGAUUCAACUCAGAUUUGCCUGGAUUUAUGUACUGAGUAUAGAUUGACUUUCCAUAAUUUUGAUAUUGCAUGCAUCUUUUGUAAGGAAAUCAACACUUACUUGCUCAUUUUCACACUUUUCAAGUCUCUGGUUGAAUUAUCAUGAUUAUGAGUUAAUAUUUAUUAGUGGUAUGCUAUGUUUGUUUACGAAAUUUUUAAAAGAAAUGGAUAUCGAUAUAAGUUUAUUAUAUCUUUCACAUUUCAAGCAUUUUGGGGGCAAAAUGUGUCAUUCAGAAGUUCAAAUUUGAGAUUAUAUAUGCAAAAUUAAGAUCUUUUAUAUUACAAAAUCAAUAUUUCACUUGUUUGUUUUUAUACAUAAAAAGACUCAAGUCUUUGUUUACAUAACACAGAUUUAAGGCUAAAAUAUUGCUAUUAUUCUUGCAUUCAGAAGGUCAAAAUUUUGGCUGUCAGCAUUAAAUUAGUUAUAUUUUUAAUGUUUACCAUAAAAAAGGAAAAAUAUUUUUAUUAAAAAUCGUGAACCAGUCUCUUUAAGGGACUGGUUCACAAUUUAAAAAAUUUUUUUUUUUUAGGUCACCUGAGUAAAUUAGGAUGACCUAUUGCAAUGAGGAACCGGCUCCGGUUAUCUUUUCAUUAGGGGGCGCCACAGACAAACUCGGCCCUGAAUCGGAAUACCCUGAGAUCGCGCUUUAUCUGUAGUUACCGAUCGAAGAAAAACGUAAACAAUCUGCUGUCAAAUACAUCCUUUUGAAACAUGCUCGGAACUUGCUGUUGUGUGCCGUAUUGUUGUAAUAGGGGUGGUCAUCAUGUAUUUCCAUCAGACUUGUUAAGAAGAAAAGCCUGGAUUCACGCAAUUAAACGUGGUGAAACUCGUUUUCAAAGCUGGACUCCGUCAACUUUUCCUGUUGUUUGCAGAGCACAUUUUAUAUCGGACGACUAUUUGACUGAACUGAACAUGGUAACUAUUGCUUAUCUUGAAUUUUUGUUUAUAAUAUACAUGUACUUAUAUCACAUUUACUGAGAAAAACCCGCUAAUGGGAUCAGCAAUUUACUACACAUGCAAAAUAAUCUGAUAAGGUUACAAACACUCUCACAUGUAGAAUCCCCACUGACACUUGCAAUUACUGGUCAUUUAUUACUACCCAUUAUCUCUUAACACCAUAAUGAAAAAAUGAAGAUAAAGAACAGUGAUCAAUUUCAUAACUACUAUAUAAUCACAAAAUAUGUCCAAAAGUAUCCACCCUGUUGAUAAUUUAUGCAUACCUGCUAGCAUGGGAUUCUGUGUUUUGAUGUUGAUGUCUACUUAAAACAUUGUUUACAAAUCUUACAGGUUUCUGUUAAAUCAAAAAACAAAUGCAAUCCUUUUGUAUAUAUAUAUUUAAUAAGUUCAUAAUGAUGCAGAUGUUUGUAGUUAUAUUAUUUGCUUCUCUUUGAUAAAUUAUACUGCAAGUUCUAAAACAUAUUUUAGUACAUAUAUGUAUAACCCUUACUAAUUUAGUAAUUGAUUCAAAGCAUCAUUGAUACAAUUCAUUCAAUUUUUAGGAAUGACUCCUGUGCUACUGUGAUAGAGGACAGAAAGAUAUCCAGCAAACGUGUACACAUUGAAAGAAUUAUUGGACUUGCCAAAACUUUCAAAAUACUGACAGAACCUAUGAAUAGCUUUGAAACAAAGCUUUCCUGUAAAAUUAUUUAUGUCUGUUUCAUGUUGUUUAAUUUUAAGAAUUGCAUAGUGCCAUCUUAUGCAUAAUUCACCAUUAAAAAUUGAUGUGAUUAAAGAAUAAACCUUUAUUUAUUUUUUUAAACAUUUAUUCCAUUUACAUUUACCAUCGUAUGUCUUGAAAAACGUUUUCUCUAACAGAGCACACUUAAAAUAUCUUUCAUAAAAUUCAUUAAAAUUUCUCUUCAUCUCGUCAAUGAAUUUGUCAUUCCUUUUAAUUUGAAAAACUCUUAUCACAAUGAAGGUCCCUGUAGAGUUGUGGAUCGGGUGACAUCAUAAAUUCAGGUCCAGAAAUAUCGGUCCUUGCACGAUGUUCAUUUCUUCUAUAUGCUUCAAUUAAGUCUGUAAUCAAAUAACGCUUAUCAGGUGAUCAUUAUAAUGUAAAACAUAGUGGCAAUAAUCAAAUGAUUAUAACACUGUAUCGUUUUAUUCAAUAUAAAAAUGCGUUUCUAUUUUGCUGCAGACAUGAAGCAAUAUAGCAAUGAUGUUGGAAUUGCCGAGGAAAUUCAAGUUUAGUUUAGCUCGGUAAAUCUGCAAACUUUUACAAGAAUUCCUUUCUGAUAACACCUAGUUUCAUUAUACGUUGUUAUAUAAAUAUAUUUAGAUAAUAUCUAAACACCAUUGAUAGUUAUUUACUGCCUUAAUCAUUUUUUACUUGGAUGAACAUAAAAACAUUGAAUGUUUAUUUACCUUCUUACAAGUUACCACUUUCUUCCCAAUUUCUUUGCUCCAAACUUUUCUAACUCUUUCCUAAGUUCAGGUAUUGUCAUAUGACCACAACUGGAUGCCAUCGUAAGUAAAAGGUAGUGUUUGUGUUUUCCGAAAUCGCAUUCGAGAAUAGUUGCUGAUAACCCAUCUUCUCAACAUUUAUCUUUUCUUUUUUUUGUGUGUUCAGGGCCGGAUUUGCCUGUGGUGCUCUCUAUCAAUACAAGAUAAGAUAACCGACUCCGGUUUCUCAUUGGUUGUCUUCCAUCGUUGUGCAUCGUCCAAUUGUUUUUGAAUUUGGUAUGAAGCAUCUUUGAGGCAAGGGGGGCAAAAAUUAUAAAUUUCAGGACUCUGCAUCCCUGUGGCCCUAGGGAUACGGCCAAAUUGACCAAUUUUUAAAAAAUCUUCUCUGCAACCGCACAUGUGUAAAGAAAACUAAAUGCAUAGUGAUGUGGAGCAGGAAGGCUUCUACCAAAAUUGUAAAUUUCAUGAUCUGCAGGUUAGAAGCUCUGACCCAAGGGCGGGGCCAAACUUAGUAUAUAUAGUGUUUAUGUGUAAAACACUUAAUAACAUCUUCUUUAGUGCUAUUGAUACUAAAUUGAAACUAAAUGGAUAGUUAGAAAGAGCAGGUAUAGUCCUCUAGGGCUGAAACGAUUCACUGAAAUAUCGAUACUGUUCAAUAUAAACGCUCGAUUCAAUGUUCGAUUCAUAUGCAUAACAUGAGGAAAUAAAAUUUUGUUUUAUCUCUCGUGUUUUUAGUACUAUAGCUAUAGGGCAUUCACUUGUAUUAAACAUUCUGAAAAAUAAUCUUCAAACCUGUGCAGGCAGAUAUUUUUGUAUCAGAAAUAAGUCGUCUUUAGCCAUCACUAAUUGCCUAAGUCACGCAUAAUUUUCGUAACUUCUUUUUAUGCCCCUGAGAUCGAAGAUUGGGGGGGGGGGGGGGGGCAUAUUGUUUUUGUCCUGUCUGUCAUUCUGUCUGAAACUUUAACCUUGCUAAUAACUUUUGAACAGUAAGAGAUAGAGCUUUGAUAUUUCACAUGAGUAUUCCUUGUGACAAGACCUUUCCGUUGGUACUAAACCUUUUGACCUCGACUUUUGACCUACUUUUUAUAUUUUUUUUUACAUUUUUUACAUUCUAAAAUUCUUGUGACAAGAUCUUUCUACUGGAACCAAGAUAUUUGUCCUUGUGACCAUGGCCAUCCUCAGAAUUGGCCAUUAUCGGGGGCAUUUGUGUUUCACAAACAUAUUUUGUUCUGUAAAGUUCUAAAAAAAAUUCUAAUUCCGUUAUCCCAUAUUGAUCAAGUUAGCAAAUAGAGAGAUACUUCAAAGCUAAUUAAGUGUCUUAAUUGUUCUUUAAUACAUUAAAGACUUUAAUUGAUAAACUUCCAAUCUAUAGUGCUUUUGAUGUUGAUGUCAUCGAUGCAGACAAAUGUCACAUCUGUGAGAUUUUUAUGCACAUUUAUAACCAUUUCUGCUGCAGUUCUUGCCGAGGACAUUGUGAAAAAGCAGUCAAUGAAUUAAAAUUUUGUUAUAGUUAGAUAAUUUUAGCUACAAAAGAGUUGGAUCCCAUUAGGAUGAGUGCAUGGGGUCUGCCCUGACUGCAUGUCUGCCUAUCCUAGCACCAUUUAGAUUUUGUAUCAGUAAACUUAAAAUAUGUUAGUGCAUGUUCAUAUCUCUGUGAUGAUUUAGUUGGGGCUGUUUUUGUUUUUUGUUCAAAACUAUGACAUUAUUUUCCUAUCAAACAUAUCCAAUAGUAGUAUUCGUAUGGCAACCCAUGAUAUGGCACCAUCGCUGUAAAAACAUUUUAUUAGUAUUAUUCAUAUGCUGUUCCACUUUUUCCCCUUCUAAAUAUAUCUGUGAUCAUUUGACCCAGCAUGACGUUUUAGUGAGCAAAAUAUUUACGAAGGUAAUGUGGCCAGGGUUAAAAUACUAGAUGAUUCAAAGAGAAGAAAUAAUGGAGUUUGAAUGAUAUCAAUGUUGUUUAUUUGUGUUUGAAUGCAUGAUGGUGAUCAUUGUACAUUGAUAAAGUGGCUUUUUAUAGGAUCCGAAACAGUACGUGACAGUGAGAGAGUUGGUUGGCGGGGAUUUCUACUUUCACUUUUGAGGAUGCAGUAAACAGACGACAGGAGGGGAAGCUGCGCAUUUCCUCGUUGGAUGAUUUGUGUACAUGUGUGGACGUAAAUGUCAUUUCAGUGAGUUAAGUUGGAUUUAAGAGGCUGAGCAAAGGCACAAAGAAAAUGUUUCCUGAGUAUAGAAUCUGAACAGAGAAUAUUGCAUCAUUCCUGAUCAGGCAAGUCUAGCUUGUUCAUUUAUUUCAUUUAUCAUUUCUUUUCUUUUCUUUCUUUUUUUUUUUUGAAUUAUUUUUUAUUCAUUUAUUGGUUUACAAUAUUACAGAAGGUGAAAUGUACAUGUUUAACUCUUUCUGUGUAUGUGUAUUUGUUUUAUUUUUUUUUUAUUGGGGGAGGGGGUGUUAUCAGUUUGUGUAGAGUGUCAAUUUUGUGUAUUGCUUAAAGAUCAGUACCAGUGUCCUACUGUUGAACAUUGGGCAGAUAUGUAAAUUGGUACUUGGUUGGUUCAUGCAGUCCUCCUUGACAUUGACAGAACUUUCCCAUGGAGACUCUUUCUCCAAGUUAUGCGUAGAGAAUCGGUCAUCUAUCUGUGUCUCGCAAGUACUUGAUGCAGACAGCUAUCAUGCUGAAUCCCGUGAAGGAAGGGGAUAUAUAGACUUCCUUUGGAAUGACGUACAUACUCAAUGUUGCGUCACUUGUGGCGAACCACAUCUUGAAGAGUGACCUUGACUUUUGACCUUGACCCCAUUUUUAAGGUCAACCACCCAAUACCUUGUGGAGGAGAAAGUGAUUUUGACCUUGACCCACUUUCAAUGUCAUUCAAGGUCAACAAUCCUAGAAUAUCAUGUGACUACUCCUAAAGAUGUACAGACUGUGGACAAAAGUAUUCGCACGAUCGCGUCAUUUUUCAAACGUGUUUAUCGAGUAUCGUACAUUUCGGGUUAUCUCUCUUUGCACAGACAUGAGUUAUCCUUUCACCGAUGAUGUAUUCAAAGAGUUGAAGGUCAAUUAUGUGACGUAAUGAUGUUUGUGUUCGUCUGCAACUCUGUUUAUACAUGCAAGGGAGUGAUUAGAAAACAUGGGUUGUAAACAUCGGAACUCGGUAUAUGCUGCUAAGAAAACAUCGUAGCAUUAGUUCAGGGCUGUAAAAGUUCUGGGGAAGUUAUUAAGAAUUCCUAUAUCAACUGUUUAUAGUGCUUGGAAUAUUAAUAAGUUUCGAGUGCGAGGUACAACAGAAAACUAACAAAGAAGUGGACGAAAGAAAUUAGUGAGUGCACGUGCACAACGGAGACUUGUUAGAUAGACACAGUUGGACAGAAAAGGACCACUGUAGGACGUUACAAAGGUGUAAUGAAAAUAACAAUGCAAAUAUUUCAAAGAAAACUAUUUGGCGAUGUUUAAGACAGAAAUGGAUAGAUCUACUAAAUAUGUGUUUGUAUCAAGAAAAUACGGUCCGAGUUGUCAAUCGUGUAAAAAGUGUGCAAUGGUGUGCGGGUAAAAUAAACUGGACCGUGGAAAAUGAAAGGAAAGUGGUAAUUUCUUCUGACAAGUGCCAGAUUGUCUUUGGAAAAUACUGUCGAGUAUAUAUAUGGAGAAGAAGUGAUAUAAAUCUUGACUGUCGGACUGUAUUUUCCCCCGAAACUGGUAAAAUAUUUGGGGAUGCAUUACGUGUCAUGGCGUUAUUACUCUUUGCAGAGUCAAUACAUAUAGCAGCAUGAAUAACUCUGAAAAUUAUGUAGAUAAAUUGUGGCCUGUACAGCAAAACUCUUUCAAGAUGACAAUUAUCUGUUUAUGGAUGACCAUACACCUGUUCAUUUAUCUUGUCUUUCAACCAAUUACAAAACGGACAAACAAAUUCCAGCACUGAAGUGGCCCACACAAUCACCUGAUUUAUGCCCCGUAGAAAACAUUUGGCUGGUAAUUAAAAGAAAACUUCAUAUCACAUUUGUACAUUAAAUUCUGGUGAUGAACUGUAUCACAAAAUUCUGGAAAUCUGGACUUCAUUUAGAGUAAAUUAUACAAAAUCUCCAUGCACCCUUCCACAACGAGUGCGCAAAGUUCAAAGGGCCCGAGGGUAUAUCACGAAAAUAUUAAAGGUACUUGACAUUCUUUUAUAUAUUUUUAUUGAUUAUUGAUAGCAACAAAUUGUUUAUUUACAAUAUUUUUGCAUUUACAAGUUAUAUGUCCUGUUCAGACACUCCAAAAACAUGUUUGUUUACCGUCAAGCGUUUUCGAUAAACAAAAUGGCCGCCAUUGCCCGUGCGAAUACUUUUGUCCACAGUCUGUAGAUGGAGCUUUAUGAUAGAAAACGUCAUUUUUCGGCCCCUAUUUUCGCCCUUGGGGCCAAUAUGAAAAUUCCAAAACCUUAUUGCACAUCUACAGGACAUUACUAUUCAGCUCCUUGAAUAUCAUGUUACUAUUCCUAAAGAUGUAGAUGGAGUUUAAGUGACAAGCUUUGUGAUAGAAAACGUCAUUUUUCGGCCUCUAUUUGCCCCCUGGGGCCAAUAUGAAAAUUUCAAAACCUUAUUGCACAUCUACAGGACUGGGUUCGAAAUUAACUUUUUCAAGCACUAGUCCGUACGGACUAGUCACUGUUGAUGUUCACUAGUCCGCAAAGCAUUUCACUAGUCCGCCCAGUAUAUCAUUAAAUGAUCAUUUUAUUCAAUAGUAUUUAAUGAAACCAAACACAUCACAGUUGCAAAGCAAUUCAUUUUCUGACACCUUCAAAAGAAAAAGACCACCAUACUUUAUUUUGCAUUCAAGAUCUUCAGAAGCAUACAGUAACCUCCGAGUUAAUCCUUUUAUAAACGUCCAUAAGUGCGUUCGAGAUCGACGUUCCCAUUGUUUUCGUGCUCAGUUCUUACAGUCACAGGAGUUCGAAAUUUUAUCAAUAAAGUCAAUAAAAUUCACUCGAUUUACCAAGCCAUGAGCUAUAGUGUUACAAACUCCUGUGUUUGAGUCGUGAAUGACGAGAACAUGUGCGCACAAAGUUGCUUGUUCUUAGAUCACACUACUUGCAGUUCUUGCACCUCGAAUCCGUUCUCGUGAUGCGUACUCGGAGUUCGGAAUCGGCAGGAAUUUGUGCUCGUUCGAAGAAUGGCGGUCUUGAACGCACUCCAUGUGUUUGAAAGAUCAGGAUGUCAUAGUCACGCAAACACUUAAUCAUGCAGAUAAUCGACCAUAAGUUCAAACAUCUAAGAGACUCAGACAAAUCUUGCUAAAAUCUUAACCAAUUCAAGAUUGAUUUCCGGAUUUUCACUAGUCUGUACGGACUAGUGCUAUAGAGAGUUUACUAGUCCGACACGUUUUUUACUAGUCUCGGACUUACGGACAUGAGGUAAUUUCGAACCCUGCAGGACAUUACUAUUCAGCUCCUAGAAUAUCAUGUGACUGCUCCUACAGAUGUAGAUGGAGUUUAAGUGACAAGCUGUAUGUUAGAAAACGUCAUUUUUCAGGCCCUAUUUGCCCCCCGGGGCCAAUAUGAAAAUUCUGAAACCUUAUUGCACAUUUACAGGUCUUUGCUAUUCACCUCCUAGAAUAUCAUUUGGAUUGCGCUGUAAUGUGGACACAGUUUUAGUGACAACAACCGGGACGGACGGACGGACCGGGAUAAAAACAAUAUACCCGAACUUUCUUCAGAAACAAAGCUGCAUAAUUUGGGGGAGGGGGUUCUAAUGAGUCUGAUGAAAUUAAAAGAAGGACCCCCACAUUUGCAUUCAAACUAGAUGUACUUCAAAAUGAAAUCAUUUCUGCUCUUACUGAAAGCAUGAUUCUCAAUUCGGGAACGAAUCUUGCAUACAAAAUAAUUAAUAGGGGAACACAUAAAUUCGAGCUCCUUUGAAAUUUAAUGAAAUGCAGAUAUGCACCUUUCUUUCAACACGAAUUGAUAUGUUGUUUCUGCAGGCACGUAUACAGACCGGGGGUUGAGGUGGGCAGGGAGGCUGGUCUGCUCUCCUCACUUUUUUGACAAUUUACUUUUUUCCGUUAUUCUAACAUACAAAGUCAGUAUUUUCUACAUCCGCAGUUCAAACUAAUAUUUUUUUUUAAAAUUUGUAAUGAAUUCAAUUUUAACCAUCAACUCCUGUAAGUUUCCAAUAUAUUGUCAUUCUUAAUUUUUAAAAUAGCUGGAAAUUGUUAAUGCUUGUAAGCUUACAUUUAUAUAUAUGCAGUGAUCAAUUUUCUUUCCUUCUGUGAAAUAAUAGAUUGUACAUAAAGUAGGACUCUCUCUCUUCUCUCUUUCUCUCUCUCUCACCUGUUCAAUCAAUUAAUAUGGACAUACAAAGACCGUAAAUAAUUAUAUGGUUCCCAAAGAGACAAUAAAACUAUAUUUUUGUUUAUAUAUUUCCUUUUAUAUGUGUCUUUGUGUAAUCAAAUGUUUAUUAUGGAUUGCAAAUGUAAUACCUGCAUUUUCACACAGAUGUAUAUUUCGAUCAUUAUUCCCUUAUUUGUAUAUCCAGGUUUGUAUAUGAUCAUCGAUAAAUUUUGAAUUAUGCAUGCAAUAUAUCCAACCAGAUGAUCAGUGUAUACAUGUAUGAUUAGAUUCCCAAUUUCUAUAAACUGCAAAACCUCGACCAGACAAGCAUUCAAUACAGGAACAUUUUUUACUCUUACAUCUCCCCUGAUUGAAGACAUCCUAUUUGGCACGGGUGAAGUGUGUCGCAGUCUGUAUAAUGGAAUGAUGUGUUGUAAAGUUCUAACGAGAUACAAAUGGAGUUUAUCAUUUUGUUUCCUGGAUUUAUCAGAAUAAAGAAAAUCUAAUAUUUUCGGUAAGUGUACAUCUCCGAUACCUGUUGAGUAGACGUCUGUAUUUGAUACGUUGUUUGGUUUUUUUUGGCGAAUAUGCCAUGUGCAUUACAUAUUAUGCAUAUGGCAUGCACCUGUAUUUUGCAAGAAUUGAUAUAAAUAAUAAAUUUUAUGCUCUUUACUUAUUCCAUUCUAUCAGUAUGUAAUUGGCAAAUGAUUUCUCCGCAUUUAUUUCACAAGAAACUGCAAAUACUUGCAUGCACUUGCAAGAAAAUCUUCUUUUUUUUUUGCAUUUUUGUCUAAAUUAUCUGAACUUUCAGAAUGUUGCAUUGGUAUACAAUAAAUAUUUUGUAAUUUUGAGCAAAGCAUAAUGUUUUAAAAUGUGAUUUUAUUUGUUUCUCAUUCACUAUAUAUUACUAUUGGAGAUGUGCACUGGUUGAGUCCACCUAGAAAAUCACUCAGGUGUGACAAUCACAUUUGGGGUAUAUAUGGGUAGAGUAAAUUGGGCUACCUGAGAGAAAUAUGGCGUAUAAGAUGAGAAAGGUGUACGUAUUUAUUAAUUCAUGUCAGCUUAAAUUGAGCUUUUAAAAAUUAUUAAUGAAUAAUAUUUUACAAACUAUAUCAGUUCAUUUUAUUAACAAUUUUGAAUUCUACGAUAAGUAUUGAAAAAUGAUCGUUAUCCGUGAUAGAAGCCAUAUUUUUAACAUUUCCUCCCGGCAA